rnacentral:snoRNA from 1 species
UUUCUGCAAUGAUGAAAUAUGAAUAAUUCACAUGUCAGACUUCAGAGGUUUUGAUAUCAAAAUCUAUGAGAAUGAAAUUCAUAUUUUCUGAGUAGUUU